rnacentral:rRNA from 1 species
GAUGAACGCUGGCGGCGUGCCUAAUACAUGCAAGUCGAGCGAAUAGAUGAGGAGCUUGCUCCUCUGACGUUAGCGGCGGACGGGUGAGUAACACGUGGAUAACCUACCUAUAAGACUGGGAUAACUUCGGGAAACCGGAGCUAAUACCGGAUAAUAUAUUGAACCGCAUGGUUCAAUAGUGAAAGACGGUUUUGCUGUCACUUAUAGAUGGAUCCGCGCCGCAUUAGCUAGUUGGUAAGGUAACGGCUUACCAAGGCAACGAUGCGUAGCCGACCUGAGAGGGUGACGGCCAACAGGGAAAAGAAACCCGGUCCGAACCCCAGACGGGAGGAAGCAGAGGGAAUCCUCCCGAAGGGGGGGAAGGCCGGGAGAACCACCGCGGGGGGGGGAAUAAGGGUUUUCGAAACAAAAAACUUUGUUAUGGGGAAAAAAAAAAUGUGAAAGACACUAGGCCGGUCUGAAGGGACCCAAACAAAAAAGCCACGCUAAACUCCGG